CCCUUCUGUAAAUUGUCUUUCAAAAAUUCGAAUUAAGCAUAUCAAAUAUGUAUGUAGAUUGUAUGUGUGUGUGUGUGUGUUUGUGUGUGUGUAUGUGUGUGUUUGUGUGUCUACAUACCAGAUGUAUAAUGCCCGCUGCUGUUAACCACACGGAUAUAAAAAUUGAUA